ACGAACGCUGGCGGCGUGCUUAACACAUGCAAGUCGAACGGAAAGGACCUGCUUUUGUGGGGUGCUCGAGUGGCGAACGGGUGAGUAACACGUGAGUAACCUGCCCUUGACUUUGGGAUAACUUCAGGAAACUGGGGCUAAUACCGGAUAGGAGCUCCUGCUGCAUGGUGGGGGUUGGAAAGUUUCGGCGGUUGGGGAUGGACUCGCGGCUUAUCAGCUUGUUGGUGGGGUAGUGGCUUACCAAGGCUUUGACGGGUAGCCGGCCUGAGAGGGUGACCGGCCACAUUGGGACUGAGAUACGGCCCAGACUCCUACGGGAGGCAGCAGUGGGGAAUAUUGCACAAUGGGCGGAAGCCUGAUGCAGCAACGCCGCGUGCGGGAUGACGGCCUUCGGGUUGUAAACCGCUUUCGCCUGUGACGAAGCGUGAGUGACGGUAAUGGGUAAAGAAGCACCGGCUAACUACGUG
rnacentral:rRNA from 1 species